rnacentral:rRNA from 1 species
AUACGAGGGGGGCAAGCGUUGUUCGGAAUAACAGGGCGUAAAGCGCACGUAGGCGGAAUGUUAAGUUAGAGGUGAAAUCCCAGGGCUCAACCCUGGAACUGCCUUUAAUACUGGCAAUCUAGAGACCGAGAGAGGUGAGUGGAAUUCCGAGUGUAGAGGUGAAAUUCGUAGAUAUUCGGAGGAACACCAGUGGCGAAGGCGGCUCACUGGCUCGGUACUGACGCUGAGGUGCGAAAGCGUGGGGAGCAAACAGGAUUAGAAACCCUAGUAGUCC